AGAAAGCAAUUAAGUCACACUUCUUGAUGCUACAGUACAGACUCUGGCAACAGGUGAAACUUUCUGUUACUACUACUAAUCCAUCAAAACAAACGAAAUGAUGUUUGAUCUUUGAUCUUUGAAUCUUUGCCAGGACCCGACCCUGAAAUUUUAGGGGUCUUAGACCAUGCGCAUCAGGGGUUCAUGAGGGGGUCGUGGGCUCGAGUUUUUAGGCCCGAAUGAUUUAAAGAAAAUGAAAAAUGGGUUUUAAUCGACGAACCGGGCCUUACGCUUGAACCCGUAAGAGGCGAGUUCAUGCCACGCGUCGGGCGCUGAGUGGCUUCUCCUUUCCGCGUUGACGACGAGGUCGAAAGGGUUUCCGCGUAACGCGAUUCAUUUGUCUCCUCUCUGAAAAACCUAGGGUUUCUUUCCGCGGAGGCGACACACCGUGCGACGGCGAAUUCCGGAGGUUUUCUCCAUCAAAUCGACUCUGUAAUCUCUUCUCGACGCUCUUAGGUCAGUAUUACUUAGAUUCACAGUGAGUUAGCGUCGAUUGAAUGUUCGAAAGGGAUUUGCGAUUUGUAUGAUUUAAAAUCGAUUUGGGGUUUUUUUUUUUAGGGUUCUUAAUCGAUAUGGUAGUUCGAUUGAGGGUUGAAUUGGUUCGAUUUUGUGGUGGAAACUCGAAACCGUUUUCUCGGAUUUCAAUUAAAAAUUGGGGCUUUCGCGUUAGGGAUGUAAAUCGAAGUCUCUGUUUCGAAUAAUAGCUGUAAAUCGUCAUGGUCGUUUCAUGUAGGGUUCGUUUCAAUGAAUGUUCGAAAGGGAUUUGCGAUUUGUGAUUAAAAUCGAUUUGGGGGGUUUUUUUUAGGGUUCUUAAUCGAUAUGGGAGUUCAAUUGUGGUAAUGUGUGCUAAUAAUCUGUUAUGUAUGUGUUUGUAGUUUCUUCCUGUGGAAGCUAUGAGGUGUGGUGCUUUGAACCAACAAUGCAAAGAGGUCAAACUUGUCAACAAGGAGGGAAAGUCAUGGACUGCGCGCUUCGGAUUUAGCAAAUCAGACGGCGCAUAUUACAUCAGCAGAGGGUGGAGAAAGUUCUGUCGUGAUAACAGAUGCACCAACGGAGAUUUGUUUGUGUUCAACGUGGUUGGAGACGGGACGACAACUCCAUUACUGUGUGUAUGUCCGGAAAGGAAGGAGUGUACUGAACUACUGAUCAAGCACUUCAGCAGAAUCGAUGGUAGCAUUGCUUCUACCUCACGAAAUUAGAUGGCUCUUUUGCGGUUUUUCCUCUCUAUCAUCCGAACUUGUUUCUUUUUGUUUCAUUAGCAACUUAUCAACUUAUGUAUUUCGGUUUGUAAAACUUGAAUGGUUUUUCUAUGUGAACUUUUAUGCUAAGUUAAACAUUCUCGAACUUAAUUGCUUUGUUGAAUGCGUAGACUGAUCAUCGAACAAAAUGUUUCUAUGAAUUGAAUUUAAGUUAAGAAACAACAUAAACUCCAAAACUCUAACAUACCUUUUCUACAUCUGAAAACACAAACCAAAAUAUUAAAACAUAUCUCAAAAC